AUUUAAAUAGCUUAUAAUUAGAGUUUAAUAUUGAAGAUAUUAGGGAGAUUAAAAUAAUCUUUAAAUA
rnacentral:tRNA from 1 species